ACAAAAAAAGUCAAAAAAAAUCGGCGCCCGGAUCUGUUUGAAAUUGGUUCAAAUACUGACUCUCGGAGAUUAUAAAGUAACAAAGUCCAAAGUCCUACCUGGGAGUGGUAAAGAAUUCCCCUGCGAUUGGGAAAAUCAUUUACUAGUAUUUGUCGAGUCAUAAUGAAACAAAUAUUUAUAAAACCGAGAAUAAACAAUAAUUAUUACGGGCAGCCGUCGUCUCGUCGGACCGACGAAAGCGGGCAACAAAAAAGCAAACGGUGUUUCAUGUUGCAACAGCCCGUACCACCUUAAGUGGGACUGCCGAAGUAAAGAAACGUUAAAAAAUAAAAUAACAAUGAAAAAGCGUUUGAAAAUCGCGAGGCGAAAAGUGGCGACAUUGCGACGCCUUCUUAAAGAAGCUAAGGAGGAAUCGGCACCACAGCAGCAGGAGGGACCACCAUCUCCUCCUGACGUAGAAAGCCGGAGCAAGAUAUGAGAUGCAUAGGCGUAACACAAUUAGAGGUAGAACUGUUUUGGUAAUUGUAAUAUACUAAGCGUCGCGCUCCGCCAAACGGUUCGGGAAUCGAGGCGAUCGGAGAAAAAGCUGAAUUUUAAAAGGGAAAAAGGGUAAAAUAUGUUCCAGGUGCAGCUUAUUUAGAGGGGCUUAGGAUUUUAGUAUACAGGGUGGCCCACCACUCACUGACAACUUAAAUAACUUUUGAUCCAGUUAAUAUUUUUAGUUGAUUUUUUUUUUAAAUAAUAGUUAUACGUUAGGUCUAUAGCUAUAUCUCAAUAAUUAAUUUUUUUACAUUUUAUUAAAAAUAU